UUCCUUCAGGCCAUAGUUUCCUGGCUUUGAUGAAUCUGAUGACUUGCUGCUGUGUUUAGUAUUUUAGGAGUGCCUUUUUCUAGGAAUAUAUGGAAAUUCAAGGUGAAUUCCUGACAAACCAAAAUCACUAACAUUAUCCCCAGGAUUGCUAUGAAGGGAGAAGUCAUUCAUUCAUAGUCCCUAGUAAAAGAAAGGUUCAAAUUUUCUAAGCCAAUAAAUGUUAUUAAAUCAAGUUUCAAAACAUCUGAAACAGGUAUGAAUGCAAAUUAAAUUUCAAACAACCACUAACCAUUACAAUUCUUCUUCUAGUGGAAUGUAAAAGUGGAUUGCAAAAGAGCCCAAGGAAAAAUCUGUCCUUCUUCAAAUAAUGGAGUGUAAAUACAGUGCUUACUACUACGAAGCUCUUCCUGUAUUCUGCUCUCUGGAAGUGCUGCAUUUAUCCCAGAUCCUUCCCUGAUCAACUCAGAAGCAAUAUAGAAAACUGCCAGUUCAAAAUGAAAGUCUUGGGAGGGAAGCUAUUCAAAGCCAACAAGCAUGUCACAUUGUUUUUUCAGGAAAUCCAGAAUAGAAUUACUUUGAGUAUAUAUUUGAGCAUGCCAAAUUAGAGACAUCAGAUCAGAUUCUCCUUCUGUUAAAUAAGGGGUAGAAGAAAAGAAUGUCUUCACAGUUCUGUUAUGAUAUCCCCAGUUUUCUACAACUAGACAUUCAAGACUUCAGGAUUCUUUAGCAUCUUCAUUUUCUU
rnacentral:lncRNA from 1 species